UAUGAAGUUGGAAUCGCUAGUAAUCGCGGAUCAGCAUGCCGCGGUGAAUACGUUCCCGGGCCUUGUACACACCGCCCGUCACACCAUGAGAGUCGGGAACACCCGAAGUCCGUAGCCUAACCGCAAGGGGGCGCGGCCGAAGGUGGGUUCGAUAAUUGGGGUGAAGUCGUAACAAGGUACC
rnacentral:rRNA from 1 species